AACGAACGCUGGCGGCAGGCUUAACACAUGCAAGUCGAGCGAGACCUUCGGGUCUAGCGGCGGACGGGUGAGUAACGCGUGGGAACGUGCCCUUCUCUACGGAAUAGCCCCGGGAAACUGGGAGUAAUACCGUAUACGCCCUUUGGGGGAAAGAUUUAUCGGAGAAGGAUCGGCCCGCGUUGGAUUAGGUAGUUGGUGGGGUAAUGGCCCACCAAGCCGACGAUCCAUAGCUGGUUUGAGAGGAUGAUCAGCCACACUGGGACUGAGACACGGCCCAGACUCCUACGGGAGGCAGCAGUAGGGAAUCUUAGACAAUGGGGGCAACCCUGAUCUAGCCAUGCCGCGUGAGUGAUGAAGGCCUUAGGGUUGUAAAGCUCUUUCAGCUGGGAAGAUAAUGACGGUACCAGCAGAAGAAGCCCCGGUUAACUCCGUG
rnacentral:rRNA from 1 species